ensembl:miRNA
AAUUACAGAUUGUCUCAGAGAAAACAAAUGAGUUACUCUCUCGGACAAGCUGUAGGUC